CAGUCUCAAGGUGAACUUCGCCUGGUUCUCAGGCCACCAGAUGAGAAGCCUGCAUCUUGCUUUCAGACUGAAGGUGGAGCUUCGCCUGGGCAUCAGGACACUAGAUGAGAAGCUUGCACCUGGCUUUCAGUCUGAAGGGGGAGCUUCGGCUGGGUGUCAGGACACCAGAUGAGAAGCCUGCACCUGGCUUUCAGUCUGAAGGUGGAGCUUCUCCUGGAUGUAAGGACACCAGAUGAAAAGCCCGCACCUGGGUUUCAUUUUGAAGGUGGAGCUUCGCAUGGGUGUCAGGACACCAGAUGAGAAGGCUGCCCUUCGCUUCUCAUCCAAAGGUGGAGCUUCUCCUUUGUGUCAGGACACCAGAUGAGAAGCCUGUACCUGGUUUUCAGUCAAGGGGGAGCUUCGCCUGGGUGUCAGGACACCAGAUGAGAAGGCUGCUCCUGGCUUUCAGUGUGAAGGUGGAGCUUCACCUGGGUGUCAGAUCACCAGAUGAGAAGCCUGCACCUGGCUUUCAGUCUGAACCUGGCUUUCAGUCUGAAGGUCUGCACCUGGCUUCACGUCUGGAGGUGCAGCUUUGCUAGGGUGUCAGGACACCAGAUGGGUAGCGUGCACCUGGCUUUCAGUCUGAAGGUGGAGCUUCUUCUGGGCGUCAGAUCACCAGAUGAGAAGCCUGAAUCUGGCUUUCAGUCUGAACCUGGCUUUCAGUCUGAAGGUAUAGCUUCGCCUGGGUGUCAGGACACCAGAUGAGAAGCCUCCACCUAGCUUCAGAGUGCCUGAGCCCGAUCCUAGCUCCAGCUCUGACCCCAGCUUCCUCCUCAUGCCAACCCUUGGAGACACUGUGAUGGCUCAAGUACACUGAGCUACUCGAAGUCAAAUAUUAAGCUCUCAGGACUUCUCCAUGCCUGUGCCCUGCCCAGGCUAUGCCAUUUGUUGUCUCCUCUGAGGACGCAGAGUGAUCAUGGCCCCUAGCCAGACCUUCCUGGGUGGGAGCUGCCGUGAUGGUUGACCAGCCACCUGUCCCUUUCCCUAGGCCCAUCUCCAGAUCAGCCCUGCUACACUGGCUUGGCUGAAGGCCCUGGCAUCAUUAUCUGCAUGUUAUGGCCUACCUAGCCCCGUGUGCCUGUGCCCUGCCCCUCCCCCAACUCAGGCUCCCUGCAGCCCUGAAAGGUGUUCUAUGACCUCACGAUGCUGCCUAUGACCUCAUUGCUCCCUCUGCCUCCCCCACUCGCCAGGUGGAUGAAUAUUACCCACUUUUAAUCUUCACACUGGCCUCAAACGCCACCUUCUCCAGCCGCAAGUCCAUUUGGAACCCACCUCCCUCACCUAGCCACGCAGCUGGCCUAUU
rnacentral:lncRNA from 1 species